rnacentral:rRNA from 1 species
GAUGAACGCUGGCGGCGUGCCUAAUACAUGCAAGUCGAACGAACAGAUAAGGAGCUUGCUCCUUUGACGUUAGCGGCGGACGGGUGAGUAACACGUGGAUAACCUACCUAUAAGACUGGGAUAACUUCGGGAAGCCGGAGCUAAUACCGGAUAACAUAUUGAACCGCAUGGUUCAAUAGUGAAAGGCGGCUUUGCUGUCACUUAUAGAUGGAUCCGCGCCGUAUUAGCUAGUUGGUAAGGUAACGGCUUACCAAGGCAACGAUACGUAGCCGACCUGAGAGGGUGAUCGGCCACACUGGAACUGAGACACGGUCCAGACUCCUACGGGAGGCAGCAGUAGGGAAUCUUCCGCAAUGGGCGAAAGCCUGACGGAGCAACGCCGCGUGAGUGAUGAAGGUCUUCGGAUCGUAAAACUCUGUUAUCAGGGAAGAACAAAUGUGUAAGUAACUGUGCACAUCUUGACGGUACCUGAUCAGAAAGCCACGGCUAACUACGUG